GAUGAACGCUGGCGGCGUGCCUAAUACAUGCAAGUCGAGCGAACCACUUCGGUGGUGAGCGGCGAACGGGUGAGUAACACGUAGGUGAUCUGCCCAUCAGACGGGGACAACGAUUGGAAACGAUCGCUAAUACCGGAUAGGACGAAAGUUUAAAGGUGCUUCUGGCACCGCUGAUGGAUUGGCCUGCGGCGCAUUAGCUAGUUGGUAGAGUAAAGGCCUAACAAGGCGACGAUGCGUAGCCGACCUGAGAGGGUGAACGGCCACACUGGGACUGAGACACGGCCCAGACUCCUACGGGAGGCAGCAGUAGGGAAUCUUCGGCAAUGGGCGAAAGCCUGACCGAGCAACGCCGCGUGAAUGAUGAAGGCCUUCGGGUCGUAAAAUUCUGUUAUAAGGGAAGAACGACUUUAGUAGGAAAUGGCUAGAGUGUGACGGUACCUUAUGAGAAAGCCACGGCUAACUACGUGCCAGCCGCCGCUGUAAUAC
rnacentral:rRNA from 1 species